rnacentral:rRNA from 1 species
AUACCCUUCGGUUCGGAAUAACUCGGGGAAACUCGAGCUAAUACCGAAUACGGCCUAUGGGCGAAAGAUUCAUCGCCGAAGGAUUGGCCCGCGUCCGAUUAGCUAGUUGGUGUUGGUAAUGGCUCACCAAGGCGACGAUCGGUAGCUGGUCUGAGAGGAUGGCCAGCCACAUUGGGACUGAGACACGGCCCAAACUCCUACGGGAGGCAGCAGUGGGGAAUAUUGGACAAUGGGCGCAAGCCUGAUCCAGCCAUGCCGCGUGAGUGAUGAAGGCCUUAGGGUUGUAAAGCUCUUUCGCACGCGACGAUAAUGACGGUAGCGUGAGAAGAAGCCCCGGCUAACUUCGUGCCAGCAGCCGCGGUAAUACGAAGGGGGCUAGCGUUGUUCGGAUUAACUGGGCGUAAAGGGCGCGUAGGCGGGUCUUUAAGUCAGGGGUGAAAUCCCAAGGCUCAACCUUGGAACUGCCUUUGAUACUGGAGAUCUUGAGUCCGGGAGAGGUGAGUGGAACUGCGAGUGUAGAGGUGAAAUUCGUAGAUAUUCGCAAGAACACCAGUGGCGAAGGCGGCUCACUGGCCCGGUACUGACGCUGAGGCGCGAAAGCGUGGGGAGCAAACAGGAUUAGAG